UGGGGAAUUUUGGACAAUGGGCGAAAGCCUGAUCCAGCAAUGCCGCGUGUGUGAAGAAGGCCUUCGGGUUGUAAAGCACUUUUGUCCGGAAAGAAAUCCUCUGGGUUAAUACCUCGGGGGGAUGACGGUACCGGAAGAAUAAGCACCGGCUAACUACGUGCCAGCAGCCGCGGUAAUACGUAGGGUGCAAGCGUUAAUCGGAAUUACUGGGCGUAAAGCGUGCGCAGGCGGUUUUGUAAGACGGAUGUGAAAUCCCCGGGCUUAACCUGGGAACUGCAUUCGUGACUGCAAGGCUAGAGUAUGGCAGAGGGGGGUAGAAUUCCACGUGUAGCAGUGAAAUGCGUAGAGAUGUGGAGGAAUACCGAUGGCGAAGGCAGCCCCCUGGGCCAAUACUGACGCUCAUGCACGAAAGCGUGGGGAGCAAACAGGAUUAGAUACCCUGGUAGUCCACGCCCUAAACGAUGUCAACUAGUUGUUGGGGACUCAUUUCCUUAGUAACGUAGCUAACGCGUGAAGUUGACCGCCUGGGGAGUACGGUCGCAAGAUUAAAAC
rnacentral:rRNA from 1 species